AAUAGAUACCCUGGUAGUCCACGCCGUAAACGAUGAGUGCUAAGUGUUAGGGGGUUUCCGCCCCUUAGUGCUGCAGCUAACGCAUUAAGCACUCCGCCUGGGGAGUACGGUCGCAAGAUUGAAACUCAAAGGAAUUGACGGGGGCCCGCACAAGCGGUGGAGCAUGUGGUUUAAUUCGAAGCAACGCGAAGAACCUUACCAGGUCUUGACAUCCCACUGACCGCUAUGGAGACAUAGUUUUCCCUUCGGGGACAGUGGUGACAGGUGGUGCAUGGUUGUCGUCAGCUCGUGUCGUGAGAUGUUGGGUUAAGUCCCGCAACGAGCGCAACCCUUGAUCUUAGUUGCCAUCAUUUAGUUGGGCACUCUAAGGUGACUGCCGGUGACAAACCGGAGGAAGGUGGGGAUGACGUCAAAUCAUCAUGCCCCUUAUGACCUGGGCUACACACGUGCUACAAUGGACGGUACAAACGGUUGCCAACCCGCGAGGGGAGCUAAUCCGAUAAAACCGUUCUCAGUUCGGAUUGUAGGCUGCAACUCGCCUACA
rnacentral:rRNA from 1 species